UGGCGGGCGCCUAAACAUGCAAGUCGAACGAGAAAGUGGAGCAAUCCAUGAGUAAAGUGGCGUACGGGUGAGUAACACGUGGAUCAUCUACCCUUUAGUGGGGAAUACCGCUGGGAAACCGGCGACAAUACCGCAUAAGCUCGAGAGAGGAAAGCAGCAAUGCGCUGAAGGAGGAGUCCGCGGUCGAUUAGCUAGUUGGUAGGGUAAAAGCCUACCAAGGCUGUGAUCGAUAGCCGGCCUGAGAGGGCACACGGCCACACUGGCACUGAAACACGGGCCAGACUCCUACGGGAGGCAGCAGUGGGGAAUCUUGCACAAUGGGGGAAACCCUGAUGCAGCGACGCCGCGUGAGCGAUGAAGCCCUUCGGGGUGUAAAGCUCUUUCGGCAGGGAAGAUUAUGACGGUACCUGCAGAAGCAGCUGCGGCUAACU
rnacentral:rRNA from 1 species